AAGAGACUGACUCACUCACACACUCCACGUAUCAUCACAGAAAGAGACUGACUCACUCACACACUCCACAUAUCAUCACAGAAAGAGACUGACUCACUCACACACUCCACGUAUCAUCACAGAACGAGACUCUCACACACUCCACGUAUCAUCACAGAAAGAGACUGGCUCACACACACACUCCACGUAUCAUCACAGAAAGAGACUGACUCACACACUCCACGUAUCAUCACAGAAAGAGACUGACUCACUCACACACUCCACGUAUUCUCACAGAAAGAGACUGACUCACUCACACACUCCACGUAUCAUCACAGAAAGAGACUCACUCACACACUCCACGUAUCAUCACAGAAAGAGACUGACUCACACACUCCACGUAUCAUCACAGAAAGAGACUGACUCACUCACACACUCCACGUAUCAUCACAGAAAGAGACUGACUCACUCACACACUCCACGUAUCAUCACGGAAAGAGACUGGCUCACUCACACACUCCACGUAUCAUCACAGAAAGAGACUGGCUCACUCACACACCACGUAUCAUCACAGAAAGAGACUGACUCACUCACACACUCCACGUAUCAUCACAGAAAGAGACUGACUCACUCACACACUCCACGUAUCAUCACAGAAAGAGACUGACUCACACACUCCACGUAUCAUCACAGAAAGAGACUGACUCACUCACACACUGCACGUAUCAUCACAGAAAGAGACUGGCUCACUCACACACUCCACGUAUCAUCACAGAAAGAGACUGGCUCACUCACACACUCCAUGUAUCAUCACAGAAAGAGACUGGCUCACUCACACACUCCACGUAUCAUCACAGAAAGAUAUUGACUCACUCACACACUCCACGUAUCAUCACAGAAAGAGACUGGCUCACACACUCCACGUAUCAUCACAGAAAGAGACUGACUGACACACUCCACGUAUCAUCACAGAAAGAGACUGACUCACUCACACACUCCACGUAUCAUCACAGAAAGAGACUGACUCACACACUCCACGUAUCAUCACAGAAAGAGACUGACUCA
rnacentral:lncRNA from 1 species